GUGAGAAGCAACUGCUGAGCUGACAUGCCACACCUACUGAAGCCUGAGUGCCCGAGAACCUGUACUCUGCAACAAGAGAAGCCACCAAAACGAGAAGCUCGUGUACUAGUGAGUAGCCCCUGCUCGCCACAACUAGAGAAAAUCCCUUGCAGCAAUGAAGACCCAGUACAGCCAAAAAUAAAUAAGACUGAGCCCAUCCUGCUGCAGAUAAAACACCUCUUCUCAAGGCUUGAGGAUCUAAGAUAAGAAGAAAAGGGGGACUUCCCUGGCAGUCCAGAGGUGAAGACUUCAUCUCCAAUGCAACGUGUGCAGCUUCAGUCCCUGGUCAGAGAGCUAAGAUCCCACACGCCUCAUGCCCAAAAAAUCAAAAUGUAAAACAGACGGGAUAUUGUAACAGAUUCAAUAAAGACUUCAAAAAUG
ensembl:lncRNA